UAUUUGAUUUACACUUAUAGAGUUACCACUGUCAUGGAAGAGGAUAGAGGCAUGGCAUCUGUCAACUUAAAAUGGCGUGAUCAGUGACCUGUUUCCAGCUCUGGAUGUUCUGAGGAUGAGGAACCUACAGUUUGAGCAGAUGGUUAAACAAUCUACCCUGGAGCUGUAGUUGCAGCCAGAAGAGAACUUUAUUCUCAAAGAGCAUCCACAUCUGCUGUAUGUGACAGCACACUCCUUAUCUUUAUUGGGGUGUAUUGGAAAUAACCAAGCUGGUUGAACGUGACUGAUCAGAAGAUUUAUAAAGGAUUUUGUGCUCUUCUAUCUCUUGUUUCAUUAUCCUGAAGGGUGAAAGACAAUAAGCUGUCAGCUGAUUGCAGAGUCCACUUUGCCAAAGCAAUGGCAAAAUUGUGAUAACAGUUCUGUAUCCUUGGAUUUUCACAAUCCUGCUGGACUGUAUGGCUGUCUGUGCAAAAUAGGAUUUGUUCUCACUCACUGAGGUUCUGAAAGUUAUUCACCACAUGUAUGUAAACAGAAAAGAAAUGCCAGUUUGGGAUGAACUUAAUGCAGAAGUUCUGACAGCUGCUGAACACUGGUUUUAUGCACCAGGAAAUCUGAGGGUGGAAAGAUGUCAAGAAACACAUGUGUUCCUGCUAGGACGUCAUUCUCCAUCCAAAAUGGACAAUACCAGAAUUCAGAGACCGUGAGAAUUCACAUCAGUGAAGCAGUCUCAUCACCUUUUAAUUUAAACUCCAACAAACUCAUCCAAGGUCAAGUAAAACCUUUUGAAUUUGUCAUCUUCUGUGAUUCUGGUAAAAAAUUCUAGGCAUGCUCAAACAGGGUUUGUUUAGCUUGUUCAAGGAAUAGUGUAUGCAUUGUGUUGCAGAUAACCCUCUGUGGGGCUGUAAGAAAAUAAACAUGAUUGCCAUGACCAAGUUCUUGUUAAACAGCAUAUCUUAACUUUCUUUUGCUGAAAAGUUUAUUGAUGGCUUCUGGGUUCUGACCCUUAUAAGCAAUGCCUAUGACUCUGUGAGUGUGGCUGCUGUUUGUGGUACACAUUUAAGAGCUGCUGCCCCAUCUACAGUAUCCAGAGCUGGUAUUCAUCCCCUGAAACCCCAGGACCUGGAGCAGAACCUGAAUGUUUGGAAAAAAACUGGAGAGAGAACAUGGUCAUACCUAUGUUCCAGUAAAAGAAGGAGAAACUCUUCCAUUUUAUUGGUGAUUUGAAUAUGCCUGAAGCGGAGAGAUAUGGGAUGAUUUGGCCUCAUGCAUUGAUUUGGCAGCAUAUUGAUUUUGGAUCAAUCAUUGGUUGAUUGGACCAAAUUACUGGUGGCCUCUUUUUAAUUCACCAGAGGCUGUGUCAUCUGGAGAGCCAGAAAGAGUAUUGGAUAAUGCAGCAAAUAGAGGAGCACGCCCUUCAUACUCCAUGAUGAUCUUUGCUGGUUUUUUUCUUAUUGAGAUCAGCUCAUUUUCCUCUUAUCUGUGAUGAGUGAUGAUUGUGUGCAUUCUCAAACUGAUUUGUAUUUUUUUUGACCAUGCUUUACUCAUCUCCUUUAUUACCAGAAGCUUUGUAAAAAUGUAGCAUCUUAAUUGCAACAGAAAUUUUGAACAAAAUACUAUGUGAUAGAAAGUGUGUGUUUAUUCUUAAUUUUAAAAUGUCAAUCCCAAUUCAAUACUUCUGUGGAUAUUUGCAUCUCAGAUUUCCUGUACGACAGAACUGUUGAUUCUUCAGCUGAGGUUAAGCCUGGAAAUGUGCAGUGCUUCAGUG